rnacentral:lncRNA from 13 species
AAACUGCAGACUCUGUGUGUCAGCAGGAGAUGGUGGGAGAAAAAGCAGGAAGGUCGCCAUGGUGAUACCGAGCUCACUCUCCCUCCGAACAAGAGGAGACGGGCACCCCUCCGUGAACACCCCCGUCCCCUCCGCCACCCGUGUCCCCCGGGGGAGGCUGUCCCCUCCCUGACCGCCCGGCGGGGCCGCGCCGCCCCCUCAUCCCGGCUCCGGCUCCUCUCCGCCCGGCCCCGGCUACCUCCAGAGCUACCCCGGCUCCCCUCAGCCUCUUCCCGGCUGCCCGCAUCGACCCCAGCUCCCCGCAGCGCAUCCUCCCCGCGCUGCCCUCCCAGCGGAGAAGUGAGACGGGAGCAGCCAAAACAGCAUCGCCCCCCCGCUCCUUGCCUCCUCCCCGCUUUGAAGUUCUUCCCAGCUCCGGCACCGCCGCUGGAGCGCCGCUGGGGGAGGGGGCGGCCGGGCGGGACGCCGUCCCCGGUAUCCCCUCCCGCGGUGCCCGGUGCCGAGCCCCGGAGCCGGGGGAGGCCGGAGCAGCCCCGGCCCCGUCGCGGCGGCGGCGCUUUGCCCGAGGGCGUGGGGGUGCGGCUCCCACGCGGGUGGUUUCCGCGACGGCAGCUGGAAACGGGGACCUCGGGGCCGCCUGCCCGCCCCACCGUGUCCCCCUCGGCCGCGCUUUCGCCGCUGCCACUUCGCCCCUUGCCCAGCGGGAAGCGGCCGCGGCUGCUCGCCCCCGGGUUACAUAAGUAACGCGCCCCGAAUCUCUCGGCACCGCCGCCGUGGCUGCCCGGGGGGCUCGAGGAAGGGCGUUUUUUGGGGCAGGGGCGAGAUGGAGGAACGCGGCGGCAGCGAGCCGUGAGGGCACAGGCACCAAACCCGCGAGCCCCGACCCAUCACCUGCGCAGCGUCCCCUCGGGCACGGCAGCCCCGCUUACCUGGCCGCUGCUGUCACUCCAUGCCGGCUCCCCGCGGGACGGGACGGGGCAGGGCGGCUCUGCCCGGCGCUGCGCCGGCUGCGGGGCUCGGGCUCCGUGCGCGCGUCUGAGCGCCGCUCGCUGUCACACGGCCCCGCGGAUGCUGUCGGGCGUCUCCAUUCCCCACGCCCGCUCGCCCACCUCCCGCCAGCCGCGCACCCCCGGGGGGCAGCGGCACCCGCCGGCCGCGGGGCUCCGCCGGAGCGGGGGGCGAGCGGGCGGCCGC